AACCCACCUCUUGCAUCAGUGUAACGUGGAUGUGAGACAUGGAGGCAAAGGAGCUUUAAGGUUUAAUGACUGCCCGAUUGAAUUUUGGGCCUGCAUGGUGGUUGUAGCCCCUUCAUUUUGGCCAAUUUCUUCCAUUUGGAAUGGCUGUACUUAUCUACUGCCUCUACCCCCAUUAUAUCUAUGUGGCUCCUCAAUCAAGGGAUAUAAUCUAUUUCUGCUCUCUUAAAUUGAAUUUGCUUUGUGACUUGCUUUGGCUAAUGGGACAUCAGCAAACAUGACAGUAACCUGCUGAAUAAAGAGAGAGACAUGUGACCAUCACCCUAGAGACAUCAGGGCAAUUUUCAAAAACAAUCCACAUUUUAGGAUGAGAAAACUGACAUCUUGAGAAGUUGGGGACUUUUUCAAAAGUCAAAUCAAGGUGGUGGUUGUCAACAGUGAUCUCAGAGGCCGGUUAGAAAGCGGAUGCUUUACAGCUAGCCUGCAGAAAACUGCCAAUAAUCCUCAUCCUCUUACCUCUCAAGCCUCUCUUAGAAUGGCAUUAUUUUCAAGGUUCCACUCUGACUAUAACCAUCUGGCAUUUAUAAAGUCGGCUCUCAGGUGAUGAUGUAAACAUCAAUGGAAAGUCAACAUCAAACAAAAAUUGUGUAAAGUCAAUUUGAUACCUAUCCUUUUAUUCUGGUUUCUUUUUUCCCCCCUUCAUCUUAGUAAUCCUACACAUUUGCAGUGAAUUUAGUGAAGUAUGAGGUAGCAGAGAAACAACUACAUGCUUGACUUAUCCGAAACAUAAAGUCAUUGAUGGAAGUGCAAAGGUUACUGAUGGGCCUCUCCUUAGCGGAUAAUACUUGCUGCACAGAAAAUAUGGAGUAAUUUGAAGCAAGGUAACUAUGUGUUUGUCUGUGUAUUUAUUCAGCAUCCGCUCCCACUCAGUGGUCGGUAUUAAGGAUACCAUAUGAACAAGAUAACACUGUCCCUCUAUUGAGAGAUUUCAGUCUAGGUGCAGGACUAAGCAAUUACAGGAAAGUCUGAUAUGUACCUUGAUAGAGGAGAGAGAGAAGAGCACAGCAGCGGCACCUAACUGAGGUAAGUAAAGUAAUGGACAAUCAGUACCUGGAGAAAGCUGAGAUCUGAGGGAAGAGCAUGUCGUAGUCCAGUGAAAGACUGUGGCAGUGUAUGGGGGGCAGGAGGAACAUUUUGAGUGGAUGCCUACAGAUCACAGGAGUGAGACAGAUAAGUGACAGGGACCCACAUGCCAAAAAGAUGACUAAGAAAGAAUUAAAACUUCAGAGAUGUUCCAAUAAAAUAAAAAAUAAAAGUACAUGCUUAUCACUCAGCUUUAACAAUCAAUUUGGGGCUAUAUUAUUUCAUCUCCUUCUUCCUAUGCUGCUUUCCCCAUCCCAGAAUAUUCUGAAGCAAAUCCAGGACAUAUAAUUUCAUCUGUAAAUUAUUCAAGAAUGCAUCUCUAAAAUAUAGGGGCUUCUUUAUACCCUUAUGAUACCUAAAAAUUAAGAAAAUACAUUUUGAAAAUGAAUUUAGUGUGAAAUUUGAUACAGCAACUGUUAGGAAGAAAUCAACUAAUCUGAAAGAGAUGAAAAUCUUUUAGCCUGCAGAAUCACUUGGUCCCAGUGUUGAAACUACAUUGGCGUGAGAAAUGCUUUAUAUAUAUGAUAAAUUUCAAGCACUCACAGAUACACAGGGGAAUAAAACCAUACAAAUGGCUUUCUUUCUUUCAUAACCGUGAAAAAUAGACUUGGUGGUUAAAUGACAAAUGUUAAUUUUGAAAGCACCAUUAAAAAAUAUAUUCCAUGACGUCUCAAAUAUCUAUUGUAGCAAGGAUUACUAC